rnacentral:rRNA from 1 species
AACGAACGCUGGCGGCAGGCUUAACACAUGCAAGUCGAGCGCACCGCAAGGGGAGCGGCAGACGGGUGAGUAACGCGUGGGAAUCUACCCAUCUCUACGGAAUAACGCAUGGAAACGUGUGCUAAUACCGUAUACGUCCUUCGUGCGACAGCUUUAUCGGAGAUUGAUGAGCCCGCGUUGGAUUAGCUAGUUGGUGGGGUAAAGGCCUACCACGGCGACGAUCCAUAGCCGGUCUGAGAGGAUGAUCAGCCACACUGGGACUGAGACACUGCCCAGACUCCGACGGGAGGCAGCAGUGGGGAAUAUUGGACAAUGGGCGCAAGCCUGUGCCAGCCAUUCCGCGUUAGUGAUGAAGGCCCUAGGGUUGUAAAGCUCUUUCGCCUGUGAAGAUAAUGACGGUAACCGGAGAAGAAGCCCCGGCUAACUUCGUGCCAGCCGCCGCCGUAACAC